GUCUACGGCCGUGCCACCCUAAACAAGCCUGAUCCCGUCUGAUCUCGGAAGCUAAGCAGGGUCGGGCCUCAUUAGUACUUGGAUGGGAGACUACUUAGGAAAACCAGGUGCUGUAGGCG
rnacentral:rRNA from 1 species